GAUGAAGAACGCAGCGAAAUGCGAUAAGUAAUGUGAAUUGCAGAAUUCAGUGAAUCAUCGAAUCUUUGGACGCACAUUGCGCCCCUUGGUAUUCCUUGGGGCAUGCCUGUUCGAGCGUCACUACAAACCCGCUCAUACAUAUUAUAUGGUAUUGAUGGAAGUGGACCGUGGUUACUAAUAAUGUAUCUGGAUCACCCCAUUGAAAUGUAUAGGCAGGACAGUAAACCUCUGCAAUGGACUUAGUAACUGUUGUGAAAACAUAGACCAGUCCUUUGCCUGGUUCCAGCCUGGCCUCCAUGGACCUCUAUCCAAGAUGAACUCUGGGUUGACCUCGGAUCAGGUAGGGAUACCCGCUGAACUUAAGCAUAUCAAUAAGCGGAGGA
rnacentral:misc_RNA from 1 species